UAAAUCGAGUUUAAAAAUACCUCUUCGGUUGACCAUGGACAGUGCGAUCGCAUGCCAAAAUUUGUGUGCAAGCUAAACACAGCCAACUUCGCAAAGAGAGGUAGUUUUU